AUCCAGAUGAUGAGUCCUAAACAGGACGAAACGUGCGUCCAGGAU
rfam:Schistosoma mansoni strain Puerto Rico chromosome W, complete genome